GAUGCUUCGCUGGUAUCUCGUUCUAGCUCUUGGUGGCUUUCACUGCUUCCAAUGGAACUGCUGCGUUCCCUGUUAGAGUUCAUAAAGCUUUCAUUAAGCUUUUUUCAUUAUCUGAACAGCGUGGCCUCUUUCAAAUCCUAAGUCUUUCAGAGUUAGAUUUUCCUUCUGCACCUUUUAAUUUCAAGUACUCAAAAUAGGUGUGUUUUCGUUCAGAGGGCUGUGGGGUGCUGAUACUGCUGCCCAGGGAAGCUGCGAUGCCUCAUCCCUGGAGGUGCCCAAGGCCGUUCAGUUGCUCAGCUGUUGAGAUGCUCAAAUUCUUCUUGCUACAUUCUAGGAUAUCCCUCUUUUCCUCCCCCCACCCCACGUGGCCAACAUACGGCCAGUUUCUUUACUUCAGCCCGUGUAGUGUUUCAGUGUCCUCUAUUAAAAUGCAUUUAAUAUUGCACGAGCCUUGUUGAUCAAGCAAGUUCAAUGUCCCUGUCUUCAUUGCUUACUGCUUUUAUAUCAUUUUCUGUAUUUCAGUAUUUCUCUGGAAAUAGAAUUAAAUACGUACUUCAAGUCAUUGAUCAAAAUUAAAUAGUAGGCAAGGUACUGGUUCCUGUAAACUGUAGCAACAGAAUUUUAUUUACUGGGUUUUUUUUUCAUCAUCAAAUAUUGAUAACGCUUUCAUAAUUCUUUUAUCAUCUUCUGUUGGAAACAUAAGGAGCUGUUUUUUGUCAGCGAUUAAUUAAAUGCUUUUCAAAUAUCUCAUUAAAUUAUAUCUGAAUACUUGCCUUUAGCUACACAAUUUAAUCAUAUCAAGGAGAGAAAUCAGCAUUUUGGAAUGCGAGUUUUCAUUUCUUCCUGAAGGCUGAAUCGAUAAGUGCAUUUAGAAAAUUUCUUCUUCUAUCUGCCAGUUAAAAAAAAAAAAAAAAAAUACUGAAUUCAAUUUUUUUCUGCAGAAGUGCAGCAUUGAUGCAUAAAUAAGGAAAAGGAGGGUUGCAACUGCUGUGACUUUUGCCUGGGGCUCCUUGCAGCUGUCUGCUUGCUAGGAGCCCAGCUGCACGUCGAAAAAACGCGAAGAGCAGCAGUGGCCUCUUGUGGUAGGCUUGCUCUAUGCUGAACAUUACUACAGUUGUUGGUCGUUUCAGCAGUUAAAUACAGCCUACAAUUCCAUGGGAUAAGGCAGCAUCUGUUCACAAGAUUUCAAUUGGACCCUAAGACGUGAUUCUCAAACAAGGAAACCCAACUGAAUUGCUAUCUUAAAAACCCUUUGCACAAGCUCAUUAUUCCAACUACUAGUUUUUUUUUCUGUUCUAACUUAGCUGUAGGAUUAUCUGUAUUUUACGUGAGCUCUGCACUAGGAUUAAGCACUUUGAAUCAUGAGUUCUGUCGCAGUUUUGCAUGGAACUGAAAUGUACUUCACAUGAAAGAAAGCAGGACAGUAUAUGCAGCACCUUCUGUUUGGACUGAUAUUAGCAAAAAUUGUAUGUCAUUUUUCAAAUCUAAUGCAAAAGGCAAGUUUCUAUAUUGGCUUUUCAGCAUUACUGUUCCCUGCAUGUAUUUUAGUGUUCAGAAUUAGUACAUACAAUCAGGGUUAAUUUUGUACCACGAAAGCCUGUACACACAAAAGUGUGUCCCAAAUUUAUGUGGUAUGUUGGUGCUUAUCAGUGUUCAGCAUCACUUUCAUUCCUUGCAAAAUUAGCUUUGCAUAACAGCUGAAGAUACGUCAGAAUUUGCUUCAGACCUUCAAAGAGCCCCUGGUGUUGAAAGAGAAAAGUAACACUUUUAUGAAGAAUAUAUGGAACAGAUGUUGAAGGGCAUAUAAAAAUAACUUUAUUAAUAAGGAAGUGCUAACUCAGAUGUCUAAAAUACUGUCUUUGAGUUUACAGCCAUUUUCAGUCUACUGAAGCUAUUUAAUCUGUGUGAUUUACUUUCUUAGUCUAUAUGAUUGACGUAUUUUCCAGCUGCGCUUUGCAGCUCCUGGGAGAAAGGAACUUAAUGCAUAACUGAAACUGUUGCUCUUCGUGUUGAGUGAAUCUGUUUGAAGAAAUGCUGGUAUUUCAAUGUAUUUUUAAAAUGUUACAUUUUGUAAAGAAUAAAAUAACCCCCAGCAGUUUCUCUUUAAAGUCUGUUGCAUUAUUCUGGAGGUGCUGCACAGAACUUUUCAGGUUUUGGGUGUGCCUUAGUGUUACAAGCCAGUGCCUUUUCAGGUGAGAGCCUUGCAGACCAUUAGUCACGCUCUGCUUUCCAUGCAAAGGAAACAUGGGUCUGUUCCCCGGAGGGAAUCUGUAAUGUAAUACAGGGAGAGUGCUAGUCAGAUGAUUGGCCUUUAACUCCUUCCAUCAUGAAUUUUAUCUGCUGUUGCUAAUUUCUAGGAAGGAAAGCAGCUAGUGUCAGACCUAAAAUUACACACACACACACACACACAAAAAUUAUGCUUGCUUUUUUAACUACAGAUGAAGAAUACAAAGGCUACAAAAAGCAUGAGGUUGACACAAGGCCCCAGAACAAAUUGAAUUUUAGGUUUUACUAAAUUUUAAGGCAAAUGUGAAAUCUGGUGAAACAUCUCAGUAAUGCUAUUUAUGAGGUAGAGUGCUGUUUUAGUGUGACAGCAGUCAGGUCCUUUACCAUUGUAACAUGCUGUCUCCAGUUGCUUAUGUACUUGAACUGUUUGGGCUAAAAUUUGCAUGCUGCCUAACUUCAGUUUGGAUUUGGUUAAUUUGAAUAGAUCAUUUGUAUUUGUCAGAUCAUGUUUCAGCUGUUCUUUUUCAGAGGAGAUGGAAAAUUACUGGCUGUAUUAAGAAAUAUCGUACUUAGCAGUGACACCAAGUUUUCUCUCUGGCACAAAUUUUAAAUUUGCACGAGUCCAUUAAUCUCUCAAUGAAAAUUUCAAUCAAAAGUAUCCUUUUGAAAGUGUUUUGAUAUGCUUUAUAAAGAUUUUUUUUUUCUUUUUAAAUAACUGGUUUAUGUAACAAAUCUCUGCCCAUAUUUUCCAAGCAGCAGCAGCAGCAGCAGCAAGACAGUGCUUCACAACAAUCUCAGAGACAGAAAUACUAGUUGCUCAGCCAGAGGUGACAGAAAUAAAGGCCAGCACAAUAUUGUACAUAGCCAGGAUAGCCAGGCCUCCACACAAGGGCUUUUUGAUAGCUAUACCAGCACAUUUCCCUACUGCAGACACAAAGCAGUGGAUGCGGUUAGGACUUUAUAUGCGUUACCAAAAUGAAAUAAGCUGCAUCAAAAAGACAAAUUUUAUGCUUAUAGGACGUAGUUUGAUCUAGAACUUGCAGUAAUGUGGAAAUACCAUUAAGUCUUCUUUCACACUGAUAAAACAGCAAAAAGAAAUAGAAAGACAUGGUGUAUAUUUGGCCUGUAGGUAAUUGCUGAAAUUAUGCAUUACAAGAACUGCAGUAUACAUUUUGUAUGAGGAAUUUCACUAAAGAACCAGUUUUUCAAUUGUAAUAUAUUAAUUCCCAAAGAAAGAUUAAUGUUUUCAGCUUCGCUGAGAUGCUCUGUUCAUUUAUCAAAGACAGAGGCCUCCUACUCUUUCUUGGUUUGCUUUUGCUUGGAUAAUGGACUUGGAUUUCCAGCCCUGCCAACUUGCUUCUGAAAGUGCUAUUCCAGUGGAAAAUAUUUUGAUAAAAAAUUAAUACUUGGUACGCAUCUAAUGUUCAUACUCAUUAAAAAAGUAAUGAUGAUUAAGGAGGUAACUGAAAAUACUUUAUCCACUUGAAUAAUAUCCAUGAAAUUCUCAUUGUUGGCUGCAAAGCUGCAUGCACAGUUCAGUAUUUUGAGAGAAAAUAAAUUAGAAUACUGAGAUAUGGUAUAUGGCAGUACUGAGGUGGUAGAACUGCAUGACAGCUGAAAUCGCAGUGUAUUCUGUGACUGAGAUCCAGUAAGAACAUAAAAUCUAGCAGCCUCUUAAUUUAUGCAGCUAAACUUAGAUAUGUUUAUUUUUAUGACUUUCACCUGCUGUUAACCCAAACCAAUUGUCUAAAAGACAAAAACAGUUCCUUACCAAUGUUGGAGAUAUAAUUGAUAGCUGUGUGUCCCUACAAAGAAGUUAUCUAUGUUGGGUCCUACACUGAGUUUUUAAGGCUUGUUAGGCUUUUGAAACUGAGCAAGACAUCACAAUUUACUUGACCAGCUUUUCUAAAUGUUCAGUUAUUGCCAAGUGAGUCCAAGGAUUCAUGACUAGAGGUGUGCCAUUUCUGUUGCAUUCAUUGCUUCCAUCUUGUGGUGCACGUACUCCACUGGCUGUUGGUGUAACGUGCCUGGGAGACAUUCCAGUUCUUCUGGACUUCCAGCAGCUCUGCUGCAGAGAUGCCAAAGUGUAUUGUCUACACUAGAUAGUACAGAGUUUGGGUUCUGUUUUCCUUUUGAUUAAGCUUAAAGUUACUUACUAAAAGUUUAUUGUAUUAACUUUCAUGCUUUUUAUGGUGACAUUAGUUGUGUUAUCUGUACUAGCAGAAAUUCCAGCCUCUAAGCUUUUACUGUAUAUUUUCUUUGUGCGUGGAAUUAUUAUUGUUUUGUAAUUACACGAUCAGUGUGGCUUUUGUUCACGCACUGUGUAAUUUAAAUCUUUUUGUCACUGCAAUUUUGCUUUCUGUGUUCAAGUAAUAAUAGAGGAGUCUUCAUAACCUACUAGGUUCACUGAUGCUUUGCUGUGUAUUUGGCAUUUAAUUUCCUGUUUCUGUGCUGCCUUGUCGUGAUGUCUUAUGAUAGGCUGAAGUUGAUGUUUUCUAUUUUAUGUUGCCUUUUGUUUUUAUCUCCUCCUCUUUCUUCUUUCUUUCUUUCUUUUUUAAUAGAAGACUUGCGUUUGGACACAUUAUUGAGCUCCCAGAUGCUGUGUAGACAGCAGAAGCUUGACAACUCAAGUGCACAGGAAUUGUCCAAAAAUUUUUUCAGUAGAAGCAAACUUCCAGAUUUGGCAGCACUAUUUGUGGGAGUUGCUCUGAAAUAGGAAUUCAGAAUAAACAUUUUGAUCCCAACAAAUUAGAAAACAAAUAUUUUCCAGCAUCAGUGAGCAAGUGGGGAGAUCGUAGCUGCAGCGUGCAAACAGUGCUUAUUCAUAAUUUAUGUAGACAGGUAGCUAAAGGAUUUUUAGAGUUUCACAGACAUAUAUUUUUCUUACUUAUUUAUGACAGUGUCACACUGUCACGUAUGGUAUUUAUUAAUAUAAAUGAACCCACAGUGAGGGAAAAAAAAAAAAAAGGAAGUAUGUAUGUGCUUGCAGGGGAAGGUAAAAUGAGGAAAGUAAGCAAUAAUAUUUCCUAAAAAAGCAGAAAUGUUUUAUUUUUAUUAUAAAAAUCUGAUAAUAGUAUUCUUGUUUUAAACCUAAGCCUGACAUUUUGUAAGUCAGUAUAUUUAGCUGAAUGUUCACAUUCAUAACCUAGUAAUUUUCAAAACUUGUGAUUACAAACAAUAUAUGGGACUUAACUCUUCUGCAUUUUUAUGGUGUUAAUUCAUGUGCAGGUGCACUGUGGCUUACAGAGUACUCAGGAUGUAGUAAAUGCACACUGCAGAGUCAUCUGAUGGCUGUUUUCACUCAGAAAUUCCCUCCCUACCCUUCUGUCAUUGAUUUUUCCUCUCCCUACAGCUUGUGACCCUUGGUCAUGCUGACAUCCUUGUGGGAAGGAGGGAACCACAAUUGAGAUAUGGUACCAACCCAAUUUUAGAGUGUAUAUAUUGUUGUGUUUUUUGCAAGCAUAAUAAUUCUGAUGCCAAACACAAACAUCAUCUCCUCAGCCAUAUAUUGUAGGUGCAAAAAAUCAGGGAGUCACUUUUAUCAAGUAUUGGGAAUCUGCCUCAGUAUACUCAAGCUGUGUGAGAGGGGUGGACCUCUUCUAAGGAAAGCAGGCUUUGGGCACUUUAAUCCCAAAAUCAUGAGUGAGCUUUUAAAUUAAAAGUAGUGAGAAAGCCAGUAGGUGCAGAAAAAGAUAGUUUGAAAUGAAACCUUACACAGUUAUGGGAUUUCUGAUACAUCAGUCAGAAAGAAACCGGUCAGAGAGGAAGUGGAGGCAGACUGUCAGUUAACGAAGACAUCAUGUCAGAUACAAGUUCUUGAAAUGUAAGAUCCUGCAUGAGGGAAGUGAGUCUUGCCCUAAAUGAAAGAAGUGACAAUGUAUAGAUAUAGGAAGCUUGACUGGAGAAAGAUAAUCCAUGGAAGACUAUAAUAACAAAACAAUAACAGAACAAUUCAAAGAAGAUGAAAGAAGAAGUAAGCCUUCUUAGUGGUGAUAUAAUGCUAUAUAUAUAUGUAUUUUUUAUUAUUUUUUUUUUUUAAAUCAUAACCUAAUUAUGCUAAGAAACUCACCACUUUGGCAAGCAAACUUAUGAAUACACACACACUGAAACUUGAAUCCAAAAUUUAAAAAACAUACUGUUGGAUUUUUAUAACCCAGUCCAGCAAGGAAAACUCAGCACCACCUCAUAAAAGGGAAGAUCCUUGUAUGGUUAGAUAGUUGGAAGACUAAAUGGUUUGUAUUCGCAGUGGAAAGUGACAGACAAGGUUCCAUAAGAUUUGUGUUAGGACCUUUGCUGUUCAACAUAUUCGUAAAGGACUGGAAAGCACAAUAGCAAUGAGGUAAUCAUGUUUGAUUAUAUAAUUUAUUCAGGGUAGUAAAAUUUAGUGACAGAGCAAUAAAAUGACAGCUGAAAUUUGGUGCAGGUAAUUGAACAGUGAUGUGCAUAAUGUAAAGAAGAACUCCUAAUUUCACUUACAUGAGCUCUGAGCUGACUGGAGUGAGAGUUGGGAGUUAUGAUAGAUAGUCACACAGAAACAUCACUCAGUGCUCAAUAGUGAUUGAAAGACUAAAUCAAAUGUUAGGAGUCAUUAAGAGAAUAAUGAAAAGAAGAGAAAAUGUCACUCUGCCAUUAUGUAAAUCUCUGAUUUUAUCACAUGUGUAAUAUGUUGUACAGUUCUGGCCUAGCCUUCCUUACUGUCUUAAACAAGACAAAGGUCUGGAGAAAGUUUGGGAAGGGCAAGAAGGAUGGUCAGAGAUAUAGAGUAAAUUCUAUAUGAGAAAAAAGUGAGCUACAACUAAGCUGAAAUAUUAUUUUAAUAGUAAAGGACAAGCUACAGAAAAAUGAUCCAGGAAGAAACUAACUUAUUAUUACUAAGGAAAAAAAUAAUGAGAAAAAUAGAUUCAAAUGAAGAGUCAAAGAGUAGAGCAACAGAAAUAGGAAACUGCAGAUACUGAGAUGCUCAGAAGAAUUCCUUUUAAUAGCACUCAUUAUUCCAUUGGGGAUUGGAUACUAGGUUGAAUUUCUUUACAGAAAGGAUGGUUAGGCAUUGGAACAGGCUGCCCAGGAAGGUUGGCAGUGUCACCAUCCCUGGAGGUAUUUGAGGACACGGUGCUAAGGGACAUGGUUUAGCAGUGAACCUGUAGUAUUGGGUGGAUGGCUGGACUUGAUCUUGGUGGUCUUUUCUAACUUAAGUGAUUCUAUGAUUCAAGCAUCCAAAGACUUGGUGAAUGCUGCCCAGCAGUUCUGUACACAGAGACAUAGCUAGACCUAUCAUCACAACCAAGCUUCUAACACUAGCCUGAAUUAUUAAUAUUUUUUAAUAGUUACAUUAUUUUUAUGCUUUUGUUUGCCUGUGCAAUAGGUUUCUUGCUGUUGUUGUUUUUCCUGACAUAACUCUUUUUCCUCUCUUUUAACUAUUUUGUUGAAAUGCAAAUAAUAAUCACAUAGCUUUUUAUUUGUUUCAGAGUCCAACCUCGCAUUAAGCUUUUGGAUCCCUUUCUGGCACCUUGAACUAAACCCAUAAAGGAGCUGCUAUUAAUGAAUGAAUUAUUCUCUAUAAUUAUAGGUAUAAGAAUUUGAAGAACAUAUCAGCCUGAAAAUACAUCAGUCAACAUCAUAACAAGAAUUUAAUAUCCUUCCUCAUUUAAAUAAGGAAAAUAAAUCAAUUAUUCAUCUAUUUUCCAUCUUAACAGUAGGACAGAGGCAACAAGAUUAUAGCUGCUGGCCUAAUGUAAAUCAUUAGUGAGUAAAUCACCUUGGCUGUAGUUAAAAUCACUGUAGGUGUUCUACUUAAUGAAGUGUUAGUUAGGUGACAGAUGACCAUAAAACGUUGGGGUUGUGCGAGUUGUCAGUACAAGAGAAGAGAAGUGCGAAUGCCAAGCUGUGUUUCAUCAAAGGCAGAUACUGAGGAUUGUCCUUUACUGAUGCUAAUUGCAGUCUUUGCUACAUUCAGCAGCUGCUGAGCUGGACCAAAAUGUAGUUGCUAAUGUAUAUGCAGAAAGGUCUGUAUGUUAGUAGUAAGUCACAUCCAUUUAAGUCUGUUUUACAACUGCUGUAGACAGCAGAGGCAGAUGGAAAUUGUGAGUUUUCAAAAGCAAAACAAAAAAAUGGUGGCAAAUGCAGAGUUAAAACCCAAGCCUGAUCACAAAUUCAGUGAGAAGGAAAGAGGAGAGAAAAAAGUAUAAAAUCUUCCUAAUUAAAAACCAAAUAAUUUCAUACGUAAGUCUUAGGAAACAAGCACUCUGCAAUAAUGUUUUUAGCAAUGUCAGUAAUUUAAAACAUAUUUCUUUUACAAGUGUUUUAGAGUUGUUGCCUUAAUUUUUUCCUGUGUAACGUGAACUGAGUAAUAUCACUUUUAUGAGAAGAGCAAAUGAUUUUGUAAUGGCAUGUAUCUGGAUGGAGGCUCUAGUUAUGUAGUGAGCUGCAUGGAAACCUGAUGCUGACUUUUCCUGGGGAAGUGCCCACUAGCAUUUUUUUUGCUUUGCCAAGCUUGUAUUUCCUUGUAUUUCCUUCUUCAGUUUCACGUUCCCCAUUGCAUUGGUCCACAUCAUUUUAGCUGUUUGGUCCACGUAUGCAUUCUCCAAUGAUCUUUUUCUUCACUCCUGGCAAUUUGUCAGGAGUAAAUAUGGAAUCUUCAAAGAAGAAAGCUACAAAACUGUAAUAUCCAACCAUUUAUAUCAGUGAGCAUUUUCUGAUUUUUCUGGGGCUCGUAGUUUGGCCAGCUAUGGAUGCUUUUCUGUGGGCCCUCAUCAAGGGUACUGCUAGCUCUCAAGUUCUUAUUUCAAGAGACAAAGGUAACUGACAUUUUAUUUAAGUGAAGCAACUGAGAGUCCAUACAAAGUAAGUAGCUGUUACCUCACUGGGUCAUUCUUGAAAAUCACAAACACGUUUUGUCUGAAAACCAAACUCUCAUAUUUUUUUCUUUGAAAUAAACCUCAAAAUGACAUAAAUCCCAGAAAAGGUCAACCUACUGUGUUGGCGAUGAGAUUGAAAAUGUCUUUAUAAUGGGAAAAGUUGGGCAGUCUUAACAUCAGGUAUCAGUGUAAACUCCAGCUGUAUAAUAAAGGGUGAAAAUCAUCUGAUUAACAA